GAUGAACGCUGGCGGCAUGCCUAAUACAUGCAAGUCGAGCGAACAGACGAGGAGCUUGCUCCUCUGACGUUGGCGGCGGACGGGUGAGUAACACGUGGAUAACCUACCUAUAAGACUGGGAUAACUUCGGGAAACCGGAGCUAAUACCGGAUAAUAUAUUGAACCGCAUGGUUCAGUAGUGAAAUACGGUUUUGCUGUCACUUAUAGAUAGAUCCGCGCCGCAUUAGCUAGUUGGUAAGGUAACGGCUUACCAAGGCAACGAUGCGUAGCCGACCUGAGAGGGUGAUCGGCCACACUGGAACUGAGACACGGUCCAGACUCCUACGGGAGGCAGCAGUAGGGAAUCUUCCGCAAUGGGCGAAAGCAUGACGGAGCAACGCCGCGUGAGUGAUGAAGGUCUUCGGAUCGUAAAACUCUGUUAUUAGGGAAGAACAAAUGUGUAAGUAACUAUGCACGUCUUGACGGUACCUAAUCAGAAAGCCACGGCUAACUACGUG
rnacentral:rRNA from 1 species